rnacentral:rRNA from 1 species
UACGGGGGGGGUAAGCGUUGUUCGGAAUUACUGGGCGUAAAGGGCUCGUAGGCGGCCAACUAAGUCAUACGUGAAAUCCCUCAGCUUAACUGGGGAACUGCGUGUGAUACUGGAUGGCUUGGAUUUGGGAGAGGGAUGCGGAAUUCCAGGUGUAGCGGUGAAAUGCGUAGAUAUCUGGAGGAACACCGGUGGCGAAGGCGGCAUCCUGGACCGAUAUUGACGCUGAGGAGCGAAAGCCAGGGGAGCAAACGGG